ensembl:ribozyme RNaseP_nuc Nuclear RNase P
GGUGAAUACCCAAUAUCAUGUGAGUCUUCGUCAUCUGCUCCUCUCUUGUUAGCUAAGUCACAUUUUUCCCCAAAGCACCCAGGACCAUGUCCCUUGGGAAGGUCUGAGACUGGGGACAGCAGUAAUUCUAACAGGGCCUUCCUUGAGCCUCAGGGAGGUGAGUGCCCAGAGAACAAGGCCCUGCAGGAGGGCACCCUGGGCAGGAGAUGCCACAGAGCCGGCUCCCGGGGAGGGGUCUGGUGGACGCCACCUUAGCCUGAGCUUGGAACAAAACUAACCUGGGCUUCUAUAUAAAUUUCACC